rnacentral:miRNA from 1 species
AAUGACUGAAAGGGAC